AGUGCCCCGCGCGCGCGCCGCGGGACCGGGCGUGAGUCCGCAGGUAUUUGGCCUCCUAAGAGUCUGAGCAAGAAAGAAGUGGAAUAUACUCUUGAAAGGAAAACAAAGACAAUAAUAAAAACAGAACUUAAUUUUACAUGGUUGUCAGCUCAUUUACCAAUAUGGACACUUUUCCCACCAAUUUUCCGCCGGGUGGAGACAGUGGGCUGACAAACUCUCAAUCUGAGCUCCAAAAAAUGUUAAUUGAUGAAAGGUUACGAUGUGAACAUCAUAAAACUAAUUAUCAGACUCUGAAAGCUGAACACACAAGGUUGCAGGAUGAGUACAUAAAAUCACAGAAUGAACUCAAGCACCUAUUAAAUGAAAAGCAAACUAACCAGGAAAAAUUUCAGCUGCUGCUUGAAGAAUUAAGAGGGGAAUUAGUAGAGAAAACUAAAGACUUAGAAGAAAUGAAGUUGCAGGUAUUAACGCCACAAAAACUGGAAUCAUUAAGAGUUCAGAUACAAAAAGAAUUAGAAGCUCCAAUGAGAGAGCAUUUUAGAAAUCUGGAUGAAGAAGUGGAAAAGUAUAGAGCUGAAUAUAAUAAGCUUCGUUAUGAAAAUACAUUUCUUAAGUCAGAAUUUGAACACCAGAAAAAAGAAUUUGCAUGUAUUUUAGAAGAAGAAAAAAUAAAAUAUGAAUCAGAGGUUGCAAGACUGGAAAAAGAUAAAGAAGAACUACAUAACCAGCUCCUUAGUAUUGAUUCCACAAGAGACAGCAAACGAAUGGAGCAACUUGUUCGAGAAAAAGCCCAUUUGUGUCAGAAAUUAAAAGGCUUAGAGACUGAAGUAGCAGAAUUAAGGGCUGAAAAAGAGAAUUCUGGUGCUCAGGUAGAAAAUGUCCAAAGAAUUCAGGUGCGGCAGUUGGCUGAGAUGCAAGCUACGGUUAGAUCCCUGGAGGCAGAAAAACAGUCAGCUAAACUGCAGGCUGAACGCAUGGAAAAAGAGCUACAAUCAAGCAAUGAACAGAAUACUGUUUUAAUCAGUAAACUGCAUAAAGCUGAACAAGACGUAAAUACGCUGACCAGUAAUGUGAAAGAACUGAAGCAUUCAAACAAGCUAGAAAUAACAGACAUCAAACUGGAGGCAGCAAGAGCUAAGAGUGAGCUAGAAAGAGAAAAAAAUAAGAUUCAAACUGAACUGGAUGGGUUACAGACAGACAAUGAAAUUCUCAAAUCAGCUGUUGAACACCACAAAGUGCUUCUAGAAGAAAAAGAUCGUGAAUUAAUACGUAAGGUACAAGCUGCCAAAGAAGAGGGUUAUCAAAAACUUGUGGUAUUACAAGAUGAAAAGCUAGAACUUGAAACCAAAUUAGCAGAGCUAGAGAAAAUGAAAGUGGAAAAUGACGUCUGGAGGCAAUCUGAAAAGGAUCAGUGUGAAGAGAAGCUGCGGGCUUCGCAGAUGGCAGAGGAGUCGGCCAGAAGGGAGCUUCAGAGUAUUAGGUUAAAGCUUCAACAACAUAUUGUGAAUACUGAAAAUGCAGAGAAAGAAAAAAAUGAAAAUUCUGACCUGAAACAGCAAAUCAGCAGUUUACAGAUCCAGGUGACCUCUCUGGGACAGUCAGAGAAUGAAUUGCUGAAUUCAAAUCAAAUGCUGAAGGAAAUGAUGGAGAGGUUAAAACAGGAAUGCCGAAAUUUAAGAAGCCAAGCUGAAAAAGCACAACUAGAAGUUGAAAAGACACUGGAAGAGAAACAGAUACAGUGGUUGGAAGAAAAACAUAAGCUACAUGAACGUAUCACAGACAGAGAAGAAAAGUAUAAUCAAGCUAAAGAGAAAUUGCAGCGAGCUGCAAUUGCCCAGAAAAAGAGAAAAUCUCUCCAUGAAAACAAAUUGAAGAGACUGCAGGAAAAAGUAGAAGUCUUAGAGGCAAAGAGAGAAGAAUUGGAAACAGAAAAUCAGGUGUUAAAGAGACAAAAUGUUCCAUUUGAAGAAUAUACAAGACUGCAAAAAAGACUGAAGGAUAUACAGAGAAGACAUAAUGAAUUUCGAAGUUUAAUUUUAGUUCCUAACAUACCUCCAGUGGCAUCCAUCAACUCUGUUAACUUCCAGUCAUCAACCAUGGUUCCAGGCAUGGAACUAUCCUUUCCACCUCAUAUGCAGGAGGAACAGCAUCAAAGGGAACUUUCGCUACUUCGUAAAAGACUAGAAGAACUAGAAACAACACAAAGAAAACAACUAGAGGAACUUGGAUCUCCUGGGGAAUGAUGUUCUUGGAGAAAAGGCAGAUCAGAGGAACGAAAUCAGUGACUCAGUAAAGCUUGAAGAUUUAAUGUAUGUGGCAUUUAGAUACUUUACUACAGUUUGCCAAAAUGCUUCAAUGUGCCUCAAGAAAAGGUACCAGCUAAAUGCUGUAUCGCAUGAAGAGAAAUUCUGCUGGAAUAACUUCAUGUCAACAGGACAAAGCUCAAGAAGUCUUCGCAGUCAAAAUCCCAGGUUAAUAGUGGAGGCCAGGAAUAUAACUGAGCAGCCCUUAGCAUCAUUUAGAAGAAACUAGGAAUGCCUUCACAUCAAGACUACUGGCCUUAGAUGGGGACCAGGCCUUUCACCUUUAUACUUUCAUUAUCACAGGAUCAACAACACUUUGGCUUAAAAUAGAAGCUCCCAAGAAAUACCAACUAUUUGCUUACAAAUAUGGGGCCAGACUUCCAAGGCCCUGUUUUAUGCAUUAUGUCACAGCCAUUCCAAGCACAGCAAGCAUUCGUGGGCAGCCAACAUGCAGGCAAGUAUUUCUUCUUAAAUGCAGCAGGCAAGGGUAUCCUGGUCAGAGAUCAAUAUUUCUCCCCCACCCCCCUUUUUCCCCUCCCCAGUGCUUCCCUCCUAACCCCUGACCCCUGAAAGAGGGAUGCUUAUCAUGUUAAGGAGCUCAUUGCCUCUACCCUACCUUAGUGCUUCACUUGAUCUUCAAGUAGCAAAUGGAAUUGGUGAGCUAUUCUCACCAUUGACAUGGAUAGCCUGUCCCAGCAUGACUGAGUUGGGGGGAAUCAGGGAAGGGGAAUUAACAUAUAUUUGGAAACAGCGCAUCUGAUGAUUGUGUCUGUGUGAAUUCCCAAAGAAAAAAAUCCAGAUUAAGGAGAAUUAAUCAUAAAGGAGAAUGAUUUAUUGAAAUAGUUGCUUAGUUAGAAAUGUCAUAAUUUCAUAUAACUUGAAUACAGAAUCUAGGCGAUUUAACAAGCUUAGCUUUCAUUUUUAGCAGAUGACAAACAAGCAUAAGCUGGCCCUAUUUAAUAGGACCAUUACUUACUCUUUUUUUAUAUCUAUAUAAAUAUUUACAUCAUUGUUCAUUUUUGUACAAUGUAUGCUUUCUUCUUUUACUACUUACUUUUUAAAGUUAACUUGAGUCGGUGUAGCCAUAGGCCCCAGCCAUUGAUUCAAAUGUAAAUUUAGGCUGGUACAAAGGUGGGCAGCAUGGUGAAACUGUAAGAGGGGCAGCCAUCUGCAGGGUCUGGCUUGGUGCCAGGUUCCCCCAUCUCUACAGGCUUCCUGGCCACCUGGGAUGCCAGAGCUGGACUCUGACCUAUACAAUGCUUUUUUAAUCAAGUCCUGGUUGGCUGAUUCAUGAUGUUAUUUAAAAUCUUACCUCAUCAAAAUAUUUUACGAUGUAUUUGUAGAUUUCCGUCAAGGCCACUUCUUCAUUAAAUUCAUUUUCAUGUUUCUUAAAAAAAGAAAGCUUGUUAAGAGCUUCUGAAAUCACUGUUUAAAAAAAGUAAUCAACUAUUUCUUUCUUACAAUACCUUAGAUUCCUGAGUUAAGAAUUCUUCCAUUUCUGAAGAUGACAAUGGAGGCAAAUCCCUGAUUGCUUUGUAGUAAGAUUUUACUUCCUCUUUGUAGGUUGGGAUAUCCUUGGCAUAGAGAAGUUUAUUAGUUGGUGCUUCCUGGGAAAAAAAAAAAAAAGGAGUAAAAAUCAUGGGGGAAUUAUAACUGUCAAUAUAGCUGAUGGACCUCCACUACCAGUAUCACACAUCCUGGUGACAAGACUUCAUGCAGUAGGCCUUAAUAAAUGUUGUUGACUGAAUGACUGACUGUUAUCCAGAUAGUUCUGUUGCUGCUCUGUGAGAGAAAAUGCAUCCAUGAAUGCCUGGGCAAUCACUGACAAACAGCCGUCUAUGUGUGGUGUCUUCUUAAUGUCAAAGACAAACUGAGGGUUCUUCAGGAUGUUUACCCAGAAGCGAAGAGGAAGGCUGUUCCAAGAGAGAGCGCAUUCAUAUGAGCACCCCAGAGUCGCAGAGGUGAGGUUCCGGGUGGCAGGAAAGGAGACGAGGUCCCAGCAUCGAUCGUGCUCAGAGGUCACUUGUUAAUAUUCAGCACUAAUGACGCCAGCGCGCGCUCCCUCCAGCUUCACGUCUGCAGUCAGGCAGCUUCCUGAGCUCUCAUUAAAACGCCGAGAUCCCCACCCUGUACUAUUAUUCUUGCAUUAAUUA